rnacentral:rRNA from 1 species
AGAGUUUGAUCAUGGCUCAGAGCGAACGCUGGCGGCAGGCUUAACACAUGCAAGUCGAGCGGGCGUAGCAAUACGUCAGCGGCAGACGGGUGAGUAACGCGUGGGAACAUACCUUUUGGUUCGGAACAACACAGGGAAACUUGUGCUAAUACCGGAUAAGCCCUUACGGGGAAAGAUUUAUCGCCGAAAGAUUGGCCCGCGUCUGAUUAGCUAGUUGGUGAGGUAAUGGCUCACCAAGGCGACGAUCAGUAGCUGGUCUGAGAGGAUGAUCAGCCACAUUGGGACUGAGACACGGCCCAAACUCCUACGGGAGGCAGCAGUGGGGAAUAUUGGACAAUGGGCGCAAGCCUGAUCCAGCCAUGCCGCGUGAGUGAUGAAGGCCCUAGGGUUGUAAAGCUCUUUUGUGCGGGAAGAUAAUGACGGUACCGCAAGAAUAAGCCCCGGCUAACUUCGUGCCAGCAGCCGCGGUAAUACGAAGGGGGCUAGCGUUGCUCGGAAUCACUGGGCGUAAAGGGUGCGUAGGCGGGUCUUUAAGUCAGGGGUGAAAUCCUGGAGCUCAACUCCAGAACUGCCUUUGAUACUGAAGAUCUUGAGUUCGGGAGAGGUGAGUGGAACUGCGAGUGUAGAGGUGAAAUUCGUAGAUAUUCGCAAGAACACCAGUGGCGAAGGCGGCUCACUGGCCCGAUACUGACGCUGAGGCACGAAAGCGUGGGGAGCAAACAGGAUUAGAUACCCCAGUAGUCC